rnacentral:rRNA from 1 species
UACGGGGGGGGCAAGCGUUGUUCGGAAUUACUGGGCGUAAAGGGUUCGUAGGUGGCCUACUAAGUCAGACGUGAAAUCCCUCAGCUCAACUGGGGAACUGCGUCUGAGACUGGAAGGCUUGAGUGCAGGAGAGGAACGCGGAAUUCCAGGUGUAGCGGUGAAAUGCGUAGAUAUCUGGAGGAACACCGGUGGCGAAGGCGGCGUUCUGGACUGUUACUGACGCUGAGGCACGAAGGUCAGGGGAGCAAACGGG